UUGCCAGGGAACUACGAGCUAAGCUUAAAACCCAAAGGACUUGACGGUACCCCAUAUCCCCCUAGAGGAGCCUGUCCUAUAAUCGAUAAUCCACGAUUGACCUCACCAUUUUCUAGUUUAUCAGCUUGUAUACCUCCGUCGUCAGCUUACCACGUGAGCGCUUAACUUAGUGAGCUUAAUGUUGUUUCACCCACACGUCAGGUCAAGGUGCAGUAUAUGUAAUGGAAAGAGAUGGGCUACACUUUCUACCCUAGAACACACGAAAAACUAAAUAUGAAAUCUAGUUAGAAGGCGGAUUUAGUAGUAAAAAGGAAUUAGAACGUCCAUUUUAACUCGGCACUGGGGUGUGUACACACCGCCCGGUCACCCUCA
rnacentral:rRNA from 1 species